AAAACUUUGUGUUAUAGUUAUUUUUGAAUACAAUUAUUUUAUAUUAAAAUUUUAAAUAUUCAGGUGAAGGUCAGAUUGUAAAUUAAUUACAUUUCGAAUUCUAACUAAAGAAAGCCAAACCAGAUAAAAAAAUUAUAUCUACAAAAAUAAAAAAUGAAAUCUAAAAACAUUGAUCCUAUCAAUAAAUUAGUACGUUCUAUAUCUGUUGGAAAAAAAUCUCACAUCAAAAACUGAAAUGAAAUUAGAUAAUAUAAAUGAGUUGAGCCAAUUUAUUUAAUGUCAAUUUGUUAAGGGAAGUAUUUAUAACAUUUAGAGAAAAGAAGAUGUCAACAAAAAAAUUAGAGAAAAAAAAAAGAAAAAAAGCAAAUAGAGCACUACGCGUGGGUCCAAUAUUGGUUUUAUGUUUCGAUACUCAUCUAUCAACCGUAGGAUGUUAUUGUUCGUAAGAUACUGUUUCAGAUCCAAUGGUUUAUAUACGGUGUGUUAAAUUACUAUAUCGGGAGAACAUUCUCAGAUGAUCAACACCUCGUUGGUCAUUUGUCAAUAUUUAUCUAAAUGUUACUGUAUUUAUUUCCUUUAUCUUUCUAUGUACACAUCAACUUGAAUUUGUGGAGUGGCC
rnacentral:lncRNA from 1 species